rnacentral:rRNA from 1 species
AUGAACGCUGGCGGCGUGCCUAAUACAUGCAAGUCGAGCGAACAGACGAGGAGCUUGCUCCUCUGACGUUAGCGGCGGACGGGUGAGUAACACGUGGAUAACCUACCUAUAAGACUGGGAUAACUUCGGGAAACCGGAGCUAAUACCGGAUAAUAUCUUGAACCGCAUGGUUCCAUAGUGAAAGACGGUUUUGCUGUCACUUAUAGAUGGAUCCGCGCCGCAUUAGCUAGUUGGUAAGGUAACGGCUUACCAAGGCAACGAUGCGUAGCCGACCUGAGAGGGUGAUCGGCCACACUGGAACUGAGACACGGUCCAGACUCCUACGGGAGGCAGCAGUAGGGAAUCUUCCGCAAUGGGCGAAAGCCUGACGGAGCAACGCCGCGUGAGUGAUGAAGGUCUUCGGAUCGUAAAACUCUGUUAUUAGGGAAGAACAAAUGUGUAAGUAACUAUGCACGUCUUGACGGUACCUAAUCAGAAAGCCACGGCUAACUACGUG